GUGGGGAAUAUUGGACAAUGGGCGCAAGCCUGAUCCAGCCAUGCCGCGUGAGUGAUGAAGGCCUUAGGAUUGUAAAGCUCUUUCACCGGUGAAGAUAAUGACGGUAACCGGAGAAGAAGCCCCGGCUAACUUCGUGCCAGCAGCCGCGGUAAUACGAAGGGGGCUAGCGUUGUUCGGAAUCACUGGGCGUAAAGGGCGCGUAGGCGGACUUUUAAGUCGGAGGUGAAAGCCCAGGGCUCAACCCUGGAAUUGCCUUCGAUACUGGGAGUCUUGAGUUCGGAAGAGGUUGGUGGAACUGCGAGUGUAGAGGUGAAAUUCGUAGAUAUUCGCAAGAACACCGGUGGCGAAGGCGGCCAACUGGUCCGAAACUGACGCUGAGGCGCGAAAGCGUGGGGAGCAAACAGGAUUAGAUACCCGGGUAGUCC
rnacentral:rRNA from 1 species